GUGAGGAAUAUUGCGCAAUGGGCGAAAGCCUGACGCAGCCAUGCCGCGUGAAUGAUGAAGGUCUUAGGAUUGUAAAAUUCUUUCACCGGGGACGAUAAUGACGGUACCCGGAGAAGAAGCCCCGGCUAACUUCGUGCCAGCAGCCGCGGUAAUACGAAGGGGGCUAGCGUUGCUCGGAAUUACUGGGCGUAAAGGGAGCGUAGGCGGAUAGUUUAGUCAGAGGUGAAAGCCCAGGGCUCAACCUUGGAAUUGCCUUUGAUACUGGCUCUCUUGAGUAUGGAAGAGGUAUGUGGAACUCCGAGUGUAGAGGUGAAAUUCGUAGAUAUUCGGAAGAACACCUGUGGCGAAGGCGACAUACUGGUCCAUUACUGACGCUGAGGCUCGAAAGCGUGGGGAGCAAACAGGAUUAGAAACCCCUGUAGUCC
rnacentral:rRNA from 1 species